AGAGCGGGAUGAAGAGGAAGAGAGGCGAGCCUGAGCUGGAGUACGGGGCCUCGUCCGGGGUGGAUGAGAGGUCCAACGAGAGCAGCGACAAGAUGCAGGGCCAGCUCCUAGCCACUGCGCGCGGCGCCGACGGGGGCAAUGCCAAGUUCGCGUGGUAUGGCGCUCCAUCGGUGGAUGUGGCCGCGGCGGCGGUGGAGCACGGGUUCGGCAGGAUGAACAACCGGGUCCUUUUCCAUCGCGCGCACGGCGACGACGUCCACCUCUCGCCGCCUCGGUCUCCUUAUGCCAGCGCAAUGCUAGCAAAUGCAGAUGAGAACGGCGGGGCGCAUAUCAUGUUGUGUCGUGUUCUGUUGGGCCGGCCAGAGGCCAUCCCGGCCGGGUCCUCCAAGCUCCACCCCAGCAGUGACAAUUACGACAGUGCCAUCGACAACAUGCAAAACCCACAGUGGUAUGUUGUUUGGGGCAAGGACAUGAACAUGAGGAUCCUCCCAGAGUACGUCGUCAGCUUCAAGUGUCCCAACCUCCAUCAGAUGCAAGGAUCAUCGGGAGCGAACUCCACGCUAAAGAAGCCUUCGCCGGUGGCUCAUGACAUGUUUCCGACGCUUCUAGCAGAGAUCCAGUGGUUCAUGCCAUCUUCCAAGCUGCAGACAUUGUAGGGGACCUACAAUUGCUUCAAGCCAGCUGCAAUGAAGUCCUCCAUAGAGAAGGGUUUGCAGAAAAUGAUCUUGGCAUCCCAGAUAAGCAGGUCGGGGUCUAAGCCGGUGCCCGGGGGAUUUCAAUGGAUCACCAACACGAGAAACUGAAAUGGCAGGACCAGAAAAGAUGGUCCCAGAUCUCACUGCAGCCGGAUGUGCAAGAACACAUCAAUGAUCAUCUGUGAGACUGUGACACUGGAAUUUUGUUGAUGGAGCAUUACCUCUGCUAUUUAGCUUCUAGAGUACAAUGACUUGUAUGUCCAACUAUAACAGCUAGCAGCAUGGUUUAUCCCCUUCUGGUUGUACAAUUUCUCUAGAGUGAUGGCAUAGGAAGAGCAUGUGUAUAUGUUGAGGUUAGUCUUCUGAUACUAAUGCUCUAGAUGUUCUUUGUAAACUAAUGCUGCAAGUGUUUGUUUGGGACAAGACAAAUAGUGUCCCAAUUUUUACGAAAAUGUGAAUUAACUUUUAUUAAAAAUAAGAAAAUUACCAAAAUUAACC
rnacentral:rRNA from 1 species